GCCUGGGUGGCUCAGUCGGUUGAGCGUCUUGAUUUCGACUCAGGUCAUGAUCUCGCAGUCUGUGAGUUCGAGCCCCACGUCAGGCU
rnacentral:tRNA from 1 species